rnacentral:lncRNA from 1 species
CUCCCCGCGCGGCGGACAGCCCGGGCGCCCUUCCUCUCUGCGGGACUGCAGGUCUAUCCGCUAAGCGCGCGUGACCAAAAACGGCUCUCAGCGGGUCCCAGCUGACGGAAGCUGACAAGUUUAUUUAAUCCCUGAACCUGGAUCCAAGGCAUCUCCCUGUAGAAAACAUCAGACCGGGGCAGAGAUUGACAAAGCAACCCAAAGCAGCAGCUGCCAACGGCCGCUGUGCCCACCUCAUCAGCAGCUAAAGAGUAUAAUUUUAAAAAAAGUCACAGAAGAAUGUGGAGACACUUAGCAAAACGGACUCUCAUAAGAGUGUUCGAUGGUGCUGCUACUAAUGAAAGAUUUGAGGAAACUCCUAAGGUCCCUCCAGUGUACAACAAUUUGGAACUUCCAUUUUCUCAACAACUGCUCUUCCAAGAUGCUGCCUCAUUUCAGAGCCAUGUUUUACUCAUGAGCUGGUCCUGUCCAGAAAACAGCCAAUGCUCAUUCCCGACACUUUCUUGUCACUGCUCUUUUCUGUUCCCUAUUUUGUCAGUAAGGAAGUAAACAACCGCUAAAACAACCCUCUAACAACAGAAGACCCUCAUGAGAACACCAGGCAGCAGAAGCUUCUUUAGCAGUAAAAGAUAUCUGGAUAUUCAUAUUUUGUUCCAUGAUCUUCAACAUUAAAUAAAUAAACUUAAUAUUCAAGUCUCCUUCUGCAUUCCUAGA